rnacentral:misc_RNA from 1 species
AAGUCGUAACAAGGUUUCCGUAGGUGAACCUGCGGUUGGAUCAUUAAUAAAAGAAGGACUUUAGAGUCCCCUUUAAACGCUAGUGCCUCGUAAAACGGGCCUAGUAAACCCACUUGUGAACCGUUUAUUGUCUCUGGUAGGGCUCUGGACCUGCCAGUUUAUUUAUUAAACCCCGUUUUUAAACCAAGUCUUAUCAAAUAUAAAAAUUUGAAACAACUUUUGACAACGGAUCUCUUGGCUCUC